GACGAACGCUGGCGGCGUGCCUAAUACAUGCAAGUCGAGCGGAUCUCUGAUGGAGCUUGCUCCUGAUGAGGUUAGUGGCGGACGGGUGAGUAACACGUAGGCAACCUGCCUGCAAGCCUGGGAUAACAUCCGGAAACGGAUGCUAAGACCGGAUACGCAGUUAGGUCGCAUGACCAAGCAGGGAAAGAUGAAGCAAUCUGUCGCUUGCAGAUGGUCCUGCGGCGGAUUAGCUAGUUGGUGAGGUAACGGCCCACCAAGGCGACGAUGCGUAGCCGACCUGAGAGGGUGAACGGCCACACUGGGACUGAGACACGGCCCAGACUCCUACGGGAGGCAGCAGUAGGGAAUCUUCCACAAUGGACGCAAGUCUGAUGGAGCAACGCCGCGUGAGUGAGGAAGGCCUUCGGGUCGUAAAGCUCUGUUGCCAGGGAAGAACGCCUAGGAGAGUAACUGCUCUUAGGGUGACGGUACCUGAGAAGAAAGCCCCGGCUAACUACGUGCCAGCCGCCGCGGUAAGAC
rnacentral:rRNA from 1 species